rnacentral:rRNA from 1 species
GUCUACGGCCAUACCACCCUGAACGUGCCCGAUCUCGUUUGAUCUCAGAAGCUAAGCAGGGUCGGGCCUGGUUUGUACUUGGAUGGGACACCACCUGGAAAUACCAGGUGCUGUAGGCU